AUCUGGAAGAAUCUGGAGACAGGUGCUGCAUGGCUGUCGUCAGCUCGUGUCGUGAGAUGUUGGGUUAAGUCCCGCAACGAGCGCAACCCUCACUGUGUGUUACAUGUGUCACACGGGACUGCCGGUUUUAAGCCGGAGGAAGGCGAGGAUGACGUCAAGUCAGCAUGGCCUUUAUAUCUUGGGCUACACACACGCUACAAUGGUCUGUACAAUAGGUUGCCAAGCCGCGAGGCGGAGCCAAUCCUUAAAGCAGGCCUCAGUUCAGAUUGCAGGCUGCAACCCGCCUGCAUGAAGAUGGAGUUGCUAGUAACCGCAGGUCAGCUAUACUGCGGUGAAUACGUUCCCGGGUCUU
rnacentral:rRNA from 1 species